rnacentral:tRNA from 1 species
GCUCAGUUAGUUCAGUGAUUAGAAUGCUAGAUAAUUUUUUUUAUCUUAGAAACGCAGGUUUGAUUCCUGCACUGGGCC